AUUGUAAUCUCUGCUCAGUCAGUCCAUGGUUCUAGCAAUUUGUUCCUGUUUCCCCUUGCCUGAUGCUGUUUUCCUCUCCACUACAGUUCUGCCUGCUCUGACUCUGGUCCUGUCCCCAGUCCGACAUCUCGUCAGUCCUGCUACUCUGUCCUGGAUUCCCCAGACCACCCUACGCUGUCUACUUUGACUAACCCUUCCUCCUGGAGUGCUCUGCUACUCUGGGUGGAAUAUGCCCACAACAUCCUCAUCAAUGCCUCGUCAGCAGCACCUCCACCCCCUCGGCUCAUCGAUGAAAAUCCUGCCUAUACAGUCUGCCGGCUUUUGGAUGUGCACCGUCCUGGUUGCGGCUAGCAGUAACCGGUGGACUGGGAGGGAUAAGGGGCCGAGGAGCGCUGCUGGGCGCCCCGCCAUCACAUUCUGGACUCAGCACCUGGUUUCCAGCAACCCGCCCGAGCUUCCCCUGGCCUGCAGUCAAUUUUCCCCCUGUAUUUCAAUAAAUACCUUGGUUACCUCA